rnacentral:tRNA from 1 species
GGGACUCAGUGGUAGAGCGCAGCCCUGAAAAGGCUGGCGUGGACAGUUCGAUUCUGUCC